UACGUAGGGGGCUAGCGUUGUCCGGAAUCAUUGGGCGUAAAGAGCGUGUAGGCGGUCCGGUAAGUCCGCUGUGAAAGUCGGGGGCUCAACCCUCGGAUGCCGGUGGAUACUGUCGGGCUCGAGUACGGAAGAGGCGAGUGGAAUUCCGUGGUGGUAGCGGUGAAAUGCGCAGAUAUCAAGAGGAACACCUGCGGCGAAGGCGGGUGCUGGGCUGACACGUGACGCUGAGGCGCGAAAGCUAGGGGAGCGAACGGG
rnacentral:rRNA from 1 species